GAAAGAGGAAGGCACUGGUGAUGUUGUUGACAGAAGAUAGAGAGCACAGAUGAUGAUGUGCAUGGAGUUUGCAUCUCACUCCU
rnacentral:precursor_RNA from 1 species